GUGGCGAGGGGUCUGGGCGGCGGUGGGGGUGGGGGGGUGGCCGGCGGCCCCUCCCCGCCUGCGCAGCACGCGCGAGCUAAUCUGCGGCUUUUCAGUUGCCGCGUGAAAAAGCCCUUUGUUCCGCCUUCUUCCCGGGCCUUUGUGCGGCGGCUCCAGGCCUGAAAGGCCCGUGUCCAACACAUGUCUCGGGCGGCGGCCCAGAGAGGCCCCGCCAGCUCCGGCCGCCGCUUCCCGGCGCUGAUAACGCGGGCGGGGGGCGCCGCCGGGCUGCGCGGCCCACAAAGGCCUCGAAUGCCAAGCAAGGGCGCAUUGUGCGACGAGGACAAAGAAGCUCGGCAGGGCGGGGCUCAGCCUGAGCCGCCAGGCCCCUCCCACAGGGCGGAGAGGGGCCCUUUCCCCAUCUCCCAGAAGGGAAACUGAGGCCCAGGAAGUUUCCUCCUCUUAAGAAUGGAGAUACUAUCAAUACCUGCCUUACUGCUGACCCCGCGGCGGCGAGGAUUAGACAAGCGACUAGCCGCACAACACUCGCGAGAGCACUGGGCACCUGCCGCGUGCCCGGUGGGUCAGCUCUGAUGCUUUUUGCCAGGCCUGAGGGCGGGCUUUACACGCGUAACUAUCUGCAUAGACAGCGCACACACAGGCACGAUAAACACGAAAGGCUGAGGCUCCCGCGUGUAUGGCCUGCCCAGCGCUCCCCUGUGGGCUCGGGGAGGACACCUAACCACACAGAGAGUAAGAAGCAGGGGUGGACACGAACCGGAGGCUGGACUCAAGAAGCUGACAAUAAUGGGUGAAACCAUUCCUUCCUCUUUCAAGCGGCAUGACACUGGGAGAGUCACUUCUCCUCUCUGUGCUUCAGCUCCCUGAUUCCUCCUGAGGGGGAAAUGCCACAAUACAAGGCACUGUCCACUCUCCCCAGUGCAGAACUCAGAAGGACAUCACUCUGUGUAUCUGCACCUCUGCAUUCCCCAGGUGCCUAAUGUGGUAGGCAAAAUCUCCCAGGACACCACUUAAUGUCUUCACCUCCAGGAACAUACCAAGCCGCCCCUGCCUCAGGACCUUUGCACUCGCUGUUCCCUCCACCUGAACCUGACCGCUCUUCCUCACAGCUUCACAGGUCGGCCUCUCUCUGUAUCUGAUCUCAGCUCAUCUGUCAACUCCUCAACUACUCAUUCCAUAGAAGCCCCUGCUGCCCCAACCCUCCUUAUCCCAUUACCCUGUUUACUCCCUUCAUAGCUCUUCUCAGCAAUUAUUUCAAGACUGUGUCAACGAAUGCUUCACUACUUGUUGACUGUGUCCCCGCCCCGGGAGAAGGCAGACUCUACGCGUCUGGGGAAGAGGCUUUUUUACCUUUGUUUCCCCUUGACUCAACGUGUAGGUGGUGACUUGAGUCCCUGACCCUUAGAGAUCAGGAGCUGGGAUACAAGCUGGGCUCUGGGCAGUACAUGGGUCCCAUGAGGAGCCCUUCUGUCUCUCAGUGGCACCUCACCGGCCUCUUGUUUCCAUGUCUGUCCUCUGUAGGCGGGGGUGCUCCUCCCCAGCUCUGCCCUUGGCUGAGUCAGCUUCCCCGGGCCUGGCUCAGGGCCGGGCGGGCAUGAGGAGGAGCUGGGUAAAUGUUUGUGGUGUUAAAUUGGACCUGUCUCGAGCUCCUCCUCGCUGAGGAGCCCCAGGGAAGGGGCCAGCAAAGAGAGAUGAAAGAAGGUGAGAAGCUGGUUUCAAAGUUGGCCCUUUCCGAGCAGAUAAAAGCCGGAGGAAAGGGAAG